rnacentral:rRNA from 1 species
GUUGUAUGGUUAAGUGACUAAGCGUACACGGUGGAUGCCUUGGCAGUUGGAGGCGAUGAAGGACGUAUUAACUUGCGAUAAGCCUAGUCAAGCUAGUAAAAAGCGCUUGAGACUAGGAUUUCCGAAUGGGGAAACCCACCUGCUUGCAGGUAUCUUGCACUGAAUACAUAGGUGUAAGAGGCGAACGCGGAGAACUGAAACAUCUAAGUACCCGUAGGAACAGAAAUCAACCGAGAUUCCGGAAGUAGCGGCGAGCGAAACCGGACCAGCCCUUAAGCUUAUUAUGUGUUAGUGGAACAUUCUGGAAAGUUUGACGAUACAGGGUGAUAGUCCCGUACACGAAAAUGCAUCUUAAGUGAAAUCGAGUAGGUCGGAGCACGUGAAACUUUGACUGAAUAUAGGUGGACCAUCAUCUAAGGCUAAAUACUCCCAACUGACCGAUAGUGAACCAGUACCGUGAGGGAAAGGCGAAAAGAACCCCUGUGAGGGGAGUGAAAUAGAACCUGAAACCGUGUACGUACAAGCAGUAGGAGCCCUUCGAGGGUGACUGCGUACCUUUUGUAUAAUGGGUCAGCGACUUAUAUUUUGUAGCGAGGUUAACCGAAUAGGGUAGCCGUAGGGAAACCGAGUCUUAACUGGGCGUUGAGUUGCAAGGUAUAGACCCGAAACCCGGUGAUCUAGCCAUGGGCAGGUUGAAGGUUGAGUAACAUCAACUGGAGGACCGAACCCACUAACGUUGAAAAGUUAGGGGAUGACCUGUGGCUAGGAGUGAAAGGCUAAUCAAACCGGGAGAUAGCUGGUUCUCCCCGAAAUCUAUUUAGGUAGAGCCUCGGACGAAUACUUACGGGGGUAGAGCACUGUUAAGGCUAGGGGGUCAUCCCGACUUACCAACCCUUUGCAAACUCCGAAUACCGUAAAGUACUAUCCGGGAGACACACGGCGGGUGCUAACGUCCGUCGUGAAGAGGGAAACAACCCAGACCGCCAGCUAAGGUCCCAAAGUCAUAGUUAAGUGGGAAACGAUGUGGAAAGGCCCAGACAGCCAGGAGGUUGGCUUAGAAGCAGCCAUCCUUUAAAGAAAGCGUAAUAGCUCACUGGUCGAGUCGGUCUGCGCGGAAGAUGUAACGGGGCUAAACUAUGCACCGAAGCUGCGGAUUCAAACUUUGUUUGAGUGGUAGGGGAGCGUUCUGUAAGCCGUUGAAGGUGUACCGGGAGGUAUGCUGGAGGUAUCAGAAGUGCGAAUGCUGACAUGAGUAACGAUAAUGCGGGUGAAAAACCCGCACGCCGGAAGACCAAGGGUUCCUAUCCCAUGUUAAUCAGGGUAGGGUAAGUCGACCCCUAAGGCGAGGCCGAAAGGCGUAGUCGAUGGGAAACGGGUUAAUAUUCCCGUACUUGGUAUAAUUGCGAUGGGGGGACGGAGCAGGCUAAACAAGCAUGGCGUUGGUUGUCCAUGUGAAAGUAUGUAGGUUGGUGACUUAGGAAAAUCCGGGUUGCUAAGACUGAGAUACGAGACGAGCCACCAAGGUGGUGAAGUUGUUGAUGCCAUACUUCCAGGAAAAGCCUCUAAGCUUCAGAUUAUACCGAAUCGUACCCCAAACCGACACAGGUGGUCAGGUAGAGAAUACUAAGGCGCUUGAGAGAACUCGGGUGAAGGAACUAGGCAAAAUUGUACCGUAACUUCGGGAGAAGGUACGCUCCUAUCUGUGAUGAGAUUUACUCU